rnacentral:rRNA from 1 species
UACGUAGGGAGCAAGCGUUAUCCGGAAUUAUUGGGUGUAAAGGGUGCGUAGACGGGAUAACAAGUUGGUUGUGAAACCCCUCGGCUCAACUGAGGAACUGCAACCAAAACUAUUAUUCUUGAGUGCAGGAGAGGAAAGUGGAAUUCCUAGUGUAGCGGUGAAAUGCGUAGAUAUUAGGAAGGACACCGGUGGCGAAGGCGACUUUCUGGACUGUAACUGACGUUGAGGCACGAAAGUGUGGGGAGCAAACAGG